GGGGGUGACUGGUUUCGACGGGUAAGCAAGGGCUUUCAGUGGCAUGUCGAGGAUUCUCGGUAACCUCGGAAAUCUUCCGGGAACACAAGUUAAAUGCCGAUUAUGGCUACGCUGCAGCCGCUUAACUGACGGUUGCUGUCUCCUAACGGGCUUGUCUGCCGCCUGUUAACGAGACAUCAUCUUGUGCAGACUGGUUUCACUCACUGUCUGGAUGAAUGAAACGAGAACUACAGACUGGUCUGAUUAUAGUUGGGUUAUUUGCGAAAAUCAGAUAAGACUUAAAAAAUGACCUAAGCAUGUAGAUGCUGAUUGAUCUCCUUAUUCGGACGCGAGUUCAAUUCUCGCCACCUCCACAA
rnacentral:tmRNA from 1 species